rnacentral:rRNA from 2 species
GUCGCCAACGAGUGGCGGACGGGUGAGUAACACGUAGGUAACCUGCCCAGAAGCGGGGGACAACAUUUGGAAACAGAUGCUAAUACCGCAUAACAGCGUUGUUCGCAUGAACAACGCUUAAAAGAUGGCUUCUCGCUAUCACUUCUGGAUGGACCUGCGGUGCAUUAGCUUGUUGGUGGGGUAACGGCCUACCAAGGCGAUGAUGCAUAGCCGAGUUGAGAGACUGAUCGGCCACAAUGGGACUGAGACACGGCCCAUACUCCUACGGGAGGCAGCAGUAGGGAAUCUUCCACAAUGGGCGCAAGCCUGAUGGAGCAACACCGCGUGAGUGAAGAAGGGUUUCGGCUCGUAAAGCUCUGUUGUUAAAGAAGAACACGUAUGAGAGUAACUGUUCAUACGUUGACGGUAUUUAACCAGAAAGUCACGGCUAACUACGUGCCAGCAGCCGCGGUAAUACGUAGGUGGCAAGCGUUAUCCGGAUUUAUUGGGCGUAAAGAGAGUGCAGGCGGUUUUCUAAGUCUGAUGUGAAAGCCUUCGGCUUAACCGGAGAAGUGCAUCGGAAACUGGAUAACUUGAGUGCAGAAGAGGGUAGUGGAACUCCAUGUGUAGCGGUGGAAUGCGUAGAUAUAUGGAAGAACACCAGUGGCGAAGGCGGCUACCUGGUCUGCAACUGACGCUGAGACUCGAAAGCAUGGGUAGCGAACAGGAUUAGAUACCCUGGUAGUCCAUGCCGUAAACGAUGAGUGCUAGGUGUUGGAGGGUUUCCGCCCUUCAGUGCCGGAGCUAACGCAUUAAGCACUCCGCCUGGGGAGUACGACCGCAAGGUUGAAACUCAAAGGAAUUGACGGGGGCCCGCACAAGCGGUGGAGCAUGUGGUUUAAUUCGAAGCUACGCGAAGAACCUUACCAGGUCUUGACAUCUUGCGCCAACCCUAGAGAUAGGGCGUUUCCUUCGGGAACGCAAUGACAGGUGGUGCAUGGUCGUCGUCAGCUCGUGUCGUGAGAUGUUGGGUUAAGUCCCGCAACGAGCGCAACCCUUGUUACUAGUUGCCAGCAUUAAGUUGGGCACUCUAGUGAGACUGCCGGUGACAAACCGGAGGAAGGUGGGGACGACGUCAGAUCAUCAUGCCCCUUAUGACCUGGGCUACACACGUGCUACAAUGGACGGUACAACGAGUCGCGAACUCGCGAGGGCAAGCAAAUCUCUUAAAACCGUUCUCAGUUCGGACUGCAGGCUGCAACUCGCCUGCACGAAGUCGGAAUCGCUAGUAAUCGCGGAUCAGCAUGCCGCGGUGAAUACGUUCCCGGGCCUUGUACACACCGCCCGUCACACCAUGAGAGUUUGUAACACCCAAAGUCGGU